UUUGAUAACUCUUUUGGGGGGCCUGCGUUUCGGCCGCAGGAGGGAAGAUUUCUUCUAUCAAAU
rnacentral:tRNA from 1 species